CUAGGUGAUGGGCUGAUAGGUGCAGUACACAUUUAUCCAGGUGCACGUUUACGUAAUGUAGCAGACCUGCACGUCCUGCACAGGUACCCAGGCGCACGUUUACGUAAUGUAACAGACCUGCACGUCCUGCACAGGUACCCAGGCGCACGCUUACGUAAUGUAACAGACCUGCACGUCCAGCACAGGUACCCAGGCGCACGCUUACGUAAUGUACCAGACCUGCACGUCCUGCACAGGUACCCAGGCGCACGCUUACGUAAUGUAAGAGACCUGCAGGUCCUGCACAGGUACCCAGGUGCACGCUUACGUAAUGUAAGAGACCUGCAGGUCCUGCACAGGUACCCAAGCGCACGUUUACGUAAUGUAAGAGACCUGCACGUCCUGCACAGGUACCCAGGCGCACGCUUACGUAAUGUAAGAGACCUGCACGUCCUGCACAGGUACCCAGGCGCACGUUUACUUAGUGUAACAGACCUGCACGUCCUGCACAGGUACCCAGGUGCACGUUUACGUAAUGUAAGAGACCUGCACGUCCUGCACAGGUACCCAGGCACACGCUUACGUAAUGUAACAGACCUGCACGUCCUGCACAGGUACCCAAGCGCACGUUUACGUAAUGUAAGAGACCUGCACGUCCUGCACAGGUACCCAGGCACACGCUUACGUAAUGUAACAGACCUGCACGUCCUGCACAGGUACCCAGGCGCACGCUUACGUAAUGUAAGAGACCUGCACGUCCUGCACAGGUACCCAGGCGCACGUUUACUUAGUGUAACAGACCUGCACGUCCUGCACAGGUACCCAAGCGCACGUUUACGUAAUGUAAGAGACCUGCACGUCCUGCACAGGUACCCAGGCGCACGUUUACUUAGUGUAACAGACCUGCACGUCCUGCACAGGUACCCAGGUGCACGUUUACUUAAUGUAGCAGACCUGCACGUCCUGCACAGGUACCCAGGCACAUGUUUACGUAAUGUAGCAGACCUGCACGUCCUGCACAGGUACCCAGGCGCACGUUUACUUAAUGUAACAGACCUGCACGUCCUGCACAGGUACCCAGGCGCACGUUUACGUAAUGUAACAGACCUGCACGUCCUGCACAGGUACCCAGGCACACGCUUACGUAAUGUAACAGACCUGCACGUCCUACACAGUUACCCAGGCACACGCUUACGUAAUGUAACAGACCUGCACGUCCUGCACAGGUACCCAGGCACAUGUUUACGUAAUGUAAGAGACCUGCACGUCCUGCACAGGUACCCAGGCACACGUUUACGUAAUGUAGCAGACCUGCACAUCCAGCACAGGUACCAAGGCGCACGUUUACUUAAUGUAACAAACCUGCACGUCCUGCACAGGUACCCAGGCACAUGUUUACGUAAUGUAGCAGACCUGCACGUCCUGCACAGGUACCCAGGCGCACGUUUACUUAAUGUAACAAACCUGCAGGUCCUGCACAGGUACCCAGGCACACGCUUACGUAAUGUAACAGACCUGCACGUCCUGCACAGGUACCCAGGCACAUGCUUACGUAAUGUAACAUACCUGCAGGUCCUGCACAGUUACCCAGGCGCACGCUUACGUAAUGUAACAGACCUGCACGUCCUGCACAGUUACCCAGGCGCACGCUUACGUAAUGUAACAGACCUGCACGUCCUGCACAGGUACCCAGGCACAUGCUUACGUAAUGUAACAGACCUGCACGUCCUGCACAGGUACCCAGGCGCACGUUUACGUAAUGUAAGAGACCUGCAGGUCCUGCACAGGUACCCAGGUGCACGCUUACGUAAUGUAACAGACCUGCACGUCCUGCACAGGUACCCAGGCACAUGCUUACGUAAUGUAGCAGACCUGCACGUCCUGCACAGGUACCCAGGCACAUGUUUACGUAAUGUAGCAGACCUGCACGUCCCGCACAGUUACCCAGGCGCACGCUUACGUAAUGUAACAGACCUGCACGUCCUGCACAGGUACCCAGGCACAUGUUUACGUAAUGUAGCAGACCUGCACGUCCCGCACAGUUACCCAGGCGCACGCUUACGUAAUGUAACAGACCUGCACGUCCUGCACAGUUACCCAGGCGCACGCUUACGUAAUGUAACAGACCUGCACGUCCUGCACAGGUACCCAGGCACAUGUUUACGUAAUGUAGCAGACCUGCACGUCCCGCACAGUUACCCAGGCGCACGCUUACGUAAUGUAACAGACCUGCACGUCCAGCACAGGUACCCAGGCACAUGCUUACAUAAUGUAACAGACCUGCACGUCCUACACAGUUACCCAGGCGCACGCUUACGUAAUGUAACAGACCUGCACGUCCUACACAGUUACCCAGGCGCACGCUUACGUAAUGUAACAGACCUGCACGUCCUGCACAGGUACCCAGGCACACGCUUACGUAAUGUAACAGACCUGCACGUCCUGCACAGGUACCCAGGCACACGCUUACGUAAUGUAACAGACCUGCACGUCCUGCACAGGUACCCAGGCGCACGCUUACGUAAUGUAACAGACCUGCACGUCCUGCACAGUUACCCAGGUGCACGUUUACUUAAUGUAACAGACCUGCACGUCCUGCACAGUUACCCAGGCGCACGCUUACGUAAUGUAACAGACCUGCACGUCCUGCACAGGUACCCAGGCGCACGCUUACGUAAUGUAAGAGACCUGCACGUCCUGCACAGGUACCCAGGCACAUGCUUACAUAAUGUAACAGACCUGCACGUCCUACACAGUUACCCAGGCGCACGCUUACGUAAUGUAACAGACCUGCACGUCCUGCACAGGUACCCAGGCGCACGCUUACGUAAUGUAACAAACCUGCAGGUCCUGCACAGUUACCCAGGCACAUGCUUACAUAAUGUAACAGACCUGCACGUCCUGCACAGUUACCCAGGCACAUGCUUACAUAAUGUAACAGACCUGCACGUCCUGCACAGGUACCCAGGCGCACGCUUACGUAAUGUAACAGACCUGCACGUCCUGCACAGUUACCCAGGCACAUGCUUACAUAAUGUAACAGACCUGCACGUCCUGCACAGGUACCCAGGCGCACGCUCACAUAAUGUAACAGACCUGCACGCCCCUGUACAGGUGCCCUGGAACUUCAAAACAAACAUAAAUAAAUGGUGUGAAAGCUUACAGGUUUUCUGA
rnacentral:lncRNA from 1 species